rnacentral:rRNA from 1 species
GAUGAACGCUAGCGAUAGGCUUAACACAUGCAAGUCGAGGGGCAGCAUGGUCUUAGCUUGCUAAGACUGAUGGCGACCGGCGCACGGGUGCGUAACGCGUAUGCAACUUGCCUCACAGAGGGGGAUAACCCGUCGAAAGACGGACUAAUACCGCGUACACUCCAUCUUGGGCAUCCAAGGUAGAGGAAAUGAAAUUCGCAGUGAGAUAGGCAUGCGUCCCAUUAGCUAGUUGGUGAGGUAACGGCUCACCAAGGCGACGAUGGGUAGGGGAACUGAGAGGUUGAACCCCCACACUGGUACUGAGACACGGACCAGACUACUACGGGAGGCAGCAGUGAGGAAUAUUGGUCGAUGGGCGAGAGCCUGAACCAGCCAAGUCGCGUGAAGGAUGACUGUCUUAUGGAUUGUAUACUUCUUUUAUACGGGAAUAACAAGAGUCACGUGUGACUCCCUGCAUGUACCGUAUGAAUAAGCAUCGGCUAACUCCGUG